UAGAUUCUCUUGUGUGUUGCAUUUUGCUUGAUACGUUGGUUCUUGGGUGGUGGACGUCUCUCUUGUGUUAAUUGUAAGAGUUAGGUGUUUGUUGUGUAAAGUUUUAAAGGUCCAAGAGUGGAAUAUGCUCUUGGGUUGUUAAGACUACAUCAACACUUGUCUAACUACCUAUCUUGUAUCUUGUUUUAGUUUCGGCUUCUUGUGUUGUUAAUGUAACCCAUUUGUUCUUGUUGCUAUUGUAAUAUUGUGGAGCUUCAUCUUGUGUUGCUAAACUUGUUGUUGGCUGGCUGUUUUGGUGUAUUAACACCUUGUAUCCUCUACUUUCUUGUUCUAGAUAGUGAAUCCGAGAGAGGUUCCCAUUUGGUCCACGAUUUGUUGUGAUUUGUGGACUGUUUUGGGGUAUGAUUUUGUGUUUCCUUAUUUGUUUUGUAUCAUUUGAUAUCAAAGCAAGGUUUGAUUUUGUUUCAACAAAAUCAAUCUUGGGAUUGCUAUCUUAAAAAAAAAAAAGUUAUUGUUCACGUUUUUAGGGUCUUUCAAAAAACUUGAUUUUGUGUGUUUCUAGUGUUAGAUCUUGUUCCCUAACACUAUUAGAGUAUAGAAAUUAAAAAUCCCAACAAAAAAGAAGUAUCAAAAUCGAAAAUCCCCCAAAAAAUAUACUAAACCCGUUUUUGACCCUUGGUCAAAUUUUGAGUUUUUGAUUUUGCAUUUUUCUUGUGUUUUUAGUGUUAGAUUUGUGUUCUCUAACACUAUAGGAGUAUAGGGUUCGAAUUUGAGCUAAAUUGGAGGUUAUUCGAUCCUUCCACCGAUGUUGAGCUUGAGUUUGAAGAAACUUGAAGGUGGGAUCUCAUUGUGGGAGGUUGUUUUGAAAUAACGUGUAUUUUGUGUUGUAGGUUUUGCAUUGUAUUGUUGUGUAUGAUGUUGCGGACUGAUUUGGUAUCUUGAUUGGACCGUAACUUGAAGGGUUAUUUUUGAUACCACCACAAUGGAACCCGAGGCUUCAAAUGCUCAAACAAUGGAUAAUAAUGCCAUCAAUCUCAUUUUGGCUCACCUUGAAACUAUGUCCCAAGAUGUGGCUAGGUUGAAUGUGCGUCUUGAGAAAUUAGAUACGGAUGUGGCAUCAAUGAGUGGGAGAUUAGAACGUAUGGAAAUCCAAAGGAGUCGACCUUCUACCCCUCAAAAUAUUUUCCCAACUAAUACUCCUGAGACCUUGCACCAAAUGCAAUAUACACCAAUUGCCAUAAAUCAAACCAAUCUUUACUCCCGAAGCCAAUAACAAGAUAGACCAAGUCAUCCUACACUCCACCAAGUCUAACAAAAAGGGCUUGGAACCAAAAUACCAUCACCAAACCCGAACCCUCCCAUCCAAACUCCACUUGACCAAAGACCUUACUAUCCAAAUCCAAUCCCUCCACUACAAGCUCCACUUAACCCAAAUAGACCCAUCCAUGUUGAGGGUGAACCUUCCCAUUUUCAAAGGUGAGAGUGAUCCCAAAGCCUACCUUGCAUGGGAGUCAUCUUGUGACAAGAUCUUCUAACUUAAUGAUCCCACCGAAGAAAAAAAAGUUGUUAUGCUAUAGCUCACUUCGAAGGGUAUGUUAAUACAUGGUGGGAGUAUGUUAAAUGGUUUGGGAAUGAGAUGAUUGGGGGAUAACCUCCUCCUUGGUUUCGAUUGAAGAACCUUAUCCGACAAAGGUACUUGCCCGAGACUUAUAGGCAUGAGCUUCUUGCUAAAUUGUACAAUUUGAGGCAAGGGAACAAGAAUGUCAUGACUUACUACGAUGAAUUUCAACAAUUGAUGUUGAAACUUGACCACCGAGGCGAGCAAGUAAGUCAUGACAUUGUGCCCUUCAAGGUUGGGUUAAACAAGGAAAUCUCUACUCGCAUGACACUUAACAAAUUCGACACCAUAGAUGGCAUCUUCCAUGUGGCUUUAGAGGUUGAGAGGGAGAUCAAAGAUAACUCAUUCAUGGCUACCCAACCCGAGGCCACCAAGGUUGUCCAAAAACAUCCUCCAAGGUAUGAAGGUAAAUUGAAUUCUACUUCCAAUCCCAAGGAAUUUCAAUGCCUCAAAUGCCAAGGGUGGGGGCGCAAGGCUAGUGAGUGCCCAAACCUGAGGAACGUGAUCCUAAGGGAGGGAAAAUUGUACUAUCUUGGGGAAAAAGUAGUAAUUGAAUCGGCUAAGGUUGAUGGCAAGCCUCAAUAUGGAGAGCAAAAAGAUGUUAAAAUGCAAGGCGAGAAAGAUGUAGAACAUGUGUGGUCGUGUGAAGGAGCUUGUGAAGUGCCUUUGUAAAAGAGGUGAGGUUAUGAAUUUGUGGGAGCUUGUGAAGUGCCUUUGUAAAAGAGGUGAGGUUAUGAAUUUGUGGGAAAAUUUCUCUCAAGAUAGAGAGGAUGAUACAAGUAUGAUCAUGAUCAUGACACUUUUGAGUAUUUUUGAAGACUGGUCACUAAAGGGCCCUUUUGUCAUUUUGUCUAUUAUUGUAAUGUAGUAUAAAUAGAACAUUGUAGGGUUUAUUUCUUUAGUUGAUCAUUAUUAUUGAAGAAUACUUCUCUUAGAGUGAGAGAGAGUCCAAUUGAAACUAGGGCAUAACAUAAGGAUGGAUUAUCUUGUGUGUUGCAUUUUGCUUGAUACGUUGGUGCUUGGGUGGUGGACGCCUCUCUUAUAUCAAUUGUAAGAUUUAGGUGUUUGUUGUGUAAAGUUUUAAAGGUUCAAGAGUGGAAUAUGCUCUUAGGUUGUUAAGACUAGAUUAACACUUAUCUAACUACCUAUCUUGUAUCUUGUUUUAGUUUUGGCUUCUUGUGUUGUUAAUGUAACUCGUUUGUUCUUGUUGCUAUUGUAAUAUUGUGG
rnacentral:lncRNA from 1 species